rnacentral:misc_RNA from 1 species
GAUGAAGAACGCAGCGAAAUGCGAUAAGUAAUGUGAAUUGCAGAAUUCAGUGAAUCAUCGAAUCUUUGAACGCACAUUGCGCCCCUCGGUAUUCCGGGGGGCAUGCCUGUUCGAGCGUCAUUUCAACCCUCAGGCCCCCGGGCCUGGCGUUGGGGAUCGGCGGAAGCCCCCUGCGGGCACAACGCCGUCCCCCAAAUACAGUGGCGGUCCCGCCGCAGCUUCCAUUGCGUAGUAGCUAACACCUCGCAACUGGAGAGCGGCGCGGCCACGCCGUAAAACACCCAACUUCUGAAUGUUGACCUCGAAUCAGGUAGGAAUACCCGCUGAACUUAAGCAUAUCAAUAAGCGGAGGA